UUGAUCUUCUCCUUCCAUAUCGUGUGUACUUGGCACUUCCAGAACCGUGUUUCCUAUUUUGUACACUCGGUUUUACCUUGCAAUCUUAUAAAGGGAUAAUCCUCACAAGAACUAAUCUACCAGUGUAACUAGCUUCCUGAACCAUAAUUUGCAUGCACUUUCUAUUAGUCGACACAGAAACCUCCUGAACCAUAUUUUGUAUACACUUCGUAUUACCUUACAUAGUUAUGGCAGUUGACUGUUCACUCUGGUUGUUACUUUUUCCUUUUCGCAAGACUAAUAUUACAAAUUUGCUCUCAUCAUAGGGAAACACAAUGGAGAGAUGCAUACAAGUCAAUCAUAUAGAUAAAUUUACUGAUUAGUUUGUGUGCCAAAAAAUUUAAGGAUCACUAAAGGUAAAAUAGGUUCACAUUCGCAUCUUACAUACACGAGCAGGAGACAAUAACUUUUGUCAGGUGCUCACUCUUGAUACUGCUUGCAUUUUCUGUCUGUUUAUAUUCAUCUUUUGCAUGUCAUACUAAUGGCGACUUAAUUUACUUAUGGAAUAUCCUGCAUGUUGUAUCUGCAAUUCUGCAGUUGCCUACAGGUCAUUUUAAAUUGGAGAAUACUCUGUUCACCACUUGCAUAUACUCUCAUGUACGUUAACUUAAAUUUGCAGUGAAAUAGCUUGCAAAAUCUAAUAUUGGUAUACCAAUUUUGUGAGGCAAGGCUUUGUUUCUUGGUUCUCAACAUUUACAAAGGCAUUUCGUUCCAAGGAUACAGAUAGGAUUAUAAUGCUACUGCGAGUAAAUGAGAGGCAUCAUUGAAAGUUAUGGUAUAUACUGGAGUACUGGACCUGGAUGAAUUUACAUACUCUUAAUGUUAUUUAAAGAUUCUUCGAGUGUUGAAAGCAACUUCAUGCUUCAUAUAUCUGUUCAGGUAUAUAGAGCGAUGCAGAUAAUGAGUGUGCCAAAGCUGGACCUAGGCCCUGUUGUCACUACCCACUUGCAGCUGGGAUGGAUCAGAGAGCGCCACCUUGACAAUGCACGACAACAGGCCCUAUCACCGACACUCUCAGGUGGACACGAAGCACAAGAAACUCACAAGUCUGAACUUCAGUGUGCCAAAUUCAGUUUGAGUUUCUGAAAGAGUGAUGUUUCUUAGUCUUAACUAUGAAAUUUAAUUUUCUCAUUGUUCAACAGAAUAUACCUGGGUGGGAUAUUUGGAUGAUAAGAGUAUGCAUAUACAUGUUGUGCAACCAUGUUUUCGAUUCA